rnacentral:rRNA from 1 species
UGGGGAAUUUUGGACAAUGGACGCAAGUCUGAUCCAGCCAUGCCGCGUGCGGGAAGAAGGCCUUCGGGUUGUAAACCGCUUUUGUCAGGGAAGAAACGAGUUUCUCUAAUACAGAGACUUAAUGACGGUACCUGAAGAAUAAGCACCGGCUAACUACGUGCCAGCAGCCGCGGUAAUACGUAGGGUGCAAGCGUCAAUCGGAAUUACUGGUCGUAAAGCGUCCGCAGGCGGUUAUGCAAGACAGGGGUGAAAUCCCCGGGCUCAACCUGGGAACGGCCUUUGUGACUGCAUAGCUGGAGUACGGUAGGGGGGGAUGGAAUUCCGCGGGUAGCAGUGAAAUGCGUAGAUAUGCGAAGGAACACCGAUGGCGAGGGCAAUCCCCUGGACCUGUACUGCCGCUCAUGCACGAAGGCGGGGGGAGCAAACA